rnacentral:tRNA from 1 species
GCGACAUUAGCUCAGUUGGUAGAGCGAUACCUUGCCACGGUAUAGGUAAUAGGUUCGAACCCGAUCUGUCGCUCCA